CUCCCAGAUGCGGCCCCUUGCAUGGGGCAGGAACUGUAUCUCAGGGUGAGGCAUCGCUCUUCACCCGCUGCAUCCAUGAAGCUUGGAGGGGUCUGGCAGCCACUGAGGUGUCAGCUUGUUUGUGUCAUUUUGGUGGUCUGGGAAUUGAGUUAAUGGCAAGAGGCAGGGAGGACUGGGAUAUAACAGCCAAGAGGGAGCUGACUGUAUCAGACACCAUGGGAGCAGAGCGCUUAGAUGUCAUUACAAAAAAAAUAACCUGGCUUGCAGCAAAGAUUGAUGAUAAGAGAAGAAAGAAGAGGGGAAGGCCUUUUGAAAGCACACUUGCCUCAAUGAGGAGGAUCUAACUCGGGACUUCGCACUUACGAGGCAGGCGCCAGAACCACUGAGCUAAAUUCCCAGCCCUUCAAACUCUGUAGACGAUGGAAAAGGACAAAUGAAAACUGUAAUGCGAUCUCACUCA
ensembl:lncRNA